rnacentral:rRNA from 1 species
CUAGAGACUGGAUUACAGGGAAAAGUUUUUUUAAAUUUAAUAAUUGAAGUUAUUUUAAUUUGUGAAGAAACAAUUAUAUAAAUUAAAGACAAGAAGACCCUAAGAAUUUAAGAAUUUUUAUUAAUAUAUUAUAUGUAUAUAUAUAAAUAAAAUUCUUAGUUGGGGCAACUAAAAAA